UACGGAGGUGGCUAGCGUUGUUCGGAAUUACUGGGCGUAAAGGGCGCGUAGGCGGCUUGGUCAGUCCCGUGUGAAAUCCCUCGGCUCAACUGAGGAACUGCACGGGAAACUGCCUGGCUUGAGUUCGGGAGAGGGAAGCGGAAUUCCGGGUGUAGCGGUGAAAUGCGUAGAUAUCCGGAGGAACACCGGUGGCGAGGGCGGCUUCCUGGACCGACACUGACGCUGAGGCGCGAAAGCUAGGGGAGCAAACGGG
rnacentral:rRNA from 1 species